GGGUUGUGAGGUUAAGCGACUAAGCGUACACGGUGGAUGCCCUGGCAGUCAGAGGCGAUGAAGGACGUGCUAAUCUGCGAUAAGCGUCGGUAAGGUGAUAUGAACCGUUAUAACCGGCGAUUUCCGAAUGGGGAAACCCAGUGUGAUUCGUCACACUAUCAUUAACUGAAUCCAUAGGUUAAUGAGGCGAACCGGGGGAACUGAAACAUCUAAGUACCCCGAGGAAAAGAAAUCAACCGAGAUUCCCCCAGUAGCGGCGAGCGAACGGGGAGCAGCCCAGAGCCUGAAUCAGUGUGUGUGUUAGUGGAAGCGUCUGGAAAGGCGCGCGAUACAGGGUGACAGCCCCGUACACAAAAAUGCACAUACUGUGAGCUCGAUGAGUAGGGCGGGACACGUGGUAUCCUGUCUGAAUAUGGGGGGACCAUCCUCCAAGGCUAAAUACUCCUGACUGACCGAUAGUGAACCAGUACCGUGAGGGAAAGGCGAAAAGAACCCCGGCGAGGGGAGUGAAAAAGAACCUGAAACCGUGUACGUACAAGCAGUGGGAGCACGCUUAGGCGUGUGACUGCGUACCUUUUGUAUAAUGGGUCAGCGACUUAUAUUCUGUAGCAAGGUUAACCGAAUAGGGGAGCCGAAGGGAAACCGAGUCUUAACUGGGCGUUAAGUUGCAGGGUAUAGACCCGAAACCCGGUGAUCUAGCCAUGGGCAGGUUGAAGGUUGGGUAACACUAACUGGAGGACCGAACCGACUAAUGUUGAAAAAUUAGCGGAUGACUUGUGGCUGGGGGUGAAAGGCCAAUCAAACCGGGAGAUAGCUGGUUCUCCCCGAAAGCUAUUUAGGUAGCGCCUCGUGAAUUCAUCUCCGGGGGUAGAGCACUGUUUCGGCAAGGGGGUCAUCCCGACUUACCAACCCGAUGCAAACUGCGAAUACCGGAGAAUGUUAUCACGGGAGACACACGGCGGGUGCUAACGUCCGUCGUGAAGAGGGAAACAACCCAGACCGCCAGCUAAGGUCCCAAAGUCAUGGUUAAGUGGGAAACGAUGUGGGAAGGCCCAGACAGCCAGGAUGUUGGCUUAGAAGCAGCCAUCAUUUAAAGAAAGCGUAAUAGCUCACUGGUCGAGUCGGCCUGCGCGGAAGAUGUAACGGGGCUAAACCAUGCACCGAAGCUGCGGCAGCGACGCUUAUGCGUUGUUGGGUAGGGGAGCGUUCUGUAAGCCUGCGAAGGUGUGCUGUGAGGCAUGCUGGAGGUAUCAGAAGUGCGAAUGCUGACAUAAGUAACGAUAAAGCGGGUGAAAAGCCCGCUCGCCGGAAGACCAAGGGUUCCUGUCCAACGUUAAUCGGGGCAGGGUGAGUCGACCCCUAAGGCGAGGCCGAAAGGCGUAGUCGAUGGGAAACAGGUUAAUAUUCCUGUACUUGGUGUUACUGCGAAGGGGGGACGGAGAAGGCUAUGUUGGCCGGGCGACGGUUGUCCCGGUUUAAGCGUGUAGGCUGGUUUUCCAGGCAAAUCCGGAAAAUCAAGGCUGAGGCGUGAUGACGAGGCACUACGGUGCUGAAGCAACAAAUGCCCUGCUUCCAGGAAAAGCCUCUAAGCAUCAGGUAACAUCAAAUCGUACCCCAAACCGACACAGGUGGUCAGGUAGAGAAUACCAAGGCGCUUGAGAGAACUCGGGUGAAGGAACUAGGCAAAAUGGUGCCGUAACUUCGGGAGAAGGCACGCUGAUAUGUAGGUGAAGUCCCUCGCGGAUGGAGCUGAAAUCAGUCGAAGAUACCAGCUGGCUGCAACUGUUUAUUAAAAACACAGCACUGUGCAAACACGAAAGUGGACGUAUACGGUGUGACGCCUGCCCGGUGCCGGAAGGUUAAUUGAUGGGGUCAGCGCAAGCGAAGCUCUUGAUCGAAGCCCCGGUAAACGGCGGCCGUAACUAUAACGGUCCUAAGGUAGCGAAAUUCCUUGUCGGGUAAGUUCCGACCUGCACGAAUGGCGUAAUGAUGGCCAGGCUGUCUCCACCCGAGACUCAGUGAAAUUGAACUCGCUGUGAAGAUGCAGUGUACCCGCGGCAAGACGGAAAGACCCCGUGAACCUUUACUAUAGCUUGACACUGAACAUUGAGCCUUGAUGUGUAGGAUAGGUGGGAGGCUUUGAAGUGUGGACGCCAGUCUGCAUGGAGCCGACCUUGAAAUACCACCCUUUAAUGUUUGAUGUUCUAACGUUGACCCGUAAUCCGGGUUGCGGACAGUGUCUGGUGGGUAGUUUGACUGGGGCGGUCUCCUCCUAAAGAGUAACGGAGGAGCACGAAGGUUGGCUAAUCCUGGUCGGACAUCAGGAGGUUAGUGCAAUGGCAUAAGCCAGCUUGACUGCGAGCGUGACGGCGCGAGCAGGUGCGAAAGCAGGUCAUAGUGAUCCGGUGGUUCUGAAUGGAAGGGCCAUCGCUCAACGGAUAAAAGGUACUCCGGGGAUAACAGGCUGAUACCGCCCAAGAGUUCAUAUCGACGGCGGUGUUUGGCACCUCGAUGUCGGCUCAUCACAUCCUGGGGCUGAAGUAGGUCCCAAGGGUAUGGCUGUUCGCCAUUUAAAGUGGUACGCGAGCUGGGUUUAGAACGUCGUGAGACAGUUCGGUCCCUAUCUGCCGUGGGCGCUGGAGAACUGAGGGGGGCUGCUCCUAGUACGAGAGGACCGGAGUGGACGCAUCACUGGUGUUCGGGUUGUCAUGCCAAUGGCACUGCCCGGUAGCUAAAUGCGGAAGAGAUAAGUGCUGAAAGCAUCUAAGCACGAAACUUGCCCCGAGAUGAGUUCUCCCUGACUCCUUGAGAGUCCUGAAGGAACGUUGAAGACGACGACGUUGAUAGGCCGGGUGUGUAAGCGCAGCGAUGCGUUGAGCUAACCGGUACUAAUGAACCGUGAGGCUUAACCUUACAACGCCGAAGGUGUUU
rnacentral:rRNA from 1 species